GUUCAGCACUAAGUCACUUUGUCUUUAUGGCAAAUGUGAGAUGCAGUGUAUGGAGCAUCAAUAUUCUAGUAUGAGAAAUUAAUGAUUUAAGUCCUUCUUAAAUGAGGCCAUUUACCCAUAGAGGGUGCCAGGCCCGUAUAACGUUAAUGAUUACUAGAUGGUGUUUCCAAAGAGUCGUGUUGCUUGAUAGUGCAGCACUAAGUGGGUGGUAAACUCCAUCUAAAAUUAAAUAUAAUCAUGAGACCGAUAGUAAACAAGUACCGUGAGGGAAAGUUGAAAAGAACUCUGAAUAGAGAGUUAAAUAGUGCGUGAAACUGCUUAGAGGUUAAGCCCGAUGAACCUGAAUAUCCAUUAUGGAAAAUUCAUCAUUAGAGUUUUAAUAUUUUAAUAAUAUUAUAAUAAUAGUGUGCAUUUUUUCCAUAUAAGGACAUUGUAAUCUAUUAACAUAAACCAAAUUUAUCAUAAAAUAUGACUUAUAGUUUAUUUAAAUUAUUUUGCUUGCAUUUUAACAUAGAAUAAAUGUCAUUAAUUUGAUAAAGUGUUGAUAGAUUUAUAUGAAUACGGUGCGUUAAUUUUUCGGAAUUAUAUAAUAGCAUGAUUAUCAUUGAUUUUCUGUGUUUAUUAUAUGCACUUGUAUGAUUAACAAUGCGAAAGAUUCAGGAUACUUUCGGCACCCGUCUUAAAACACGGACCAAGGAGUCUAACAUAUGUGCAAGUUAUUGGGAUAUAAACCUAAUAGCAUAAUUAACUUGACUAAUAAUGGGAUUCGUUUUUUAACUAUUUAACACAAUCCCGGGGCGUUCUAUAUAGUUAUGUAUAAUGAUAUUUAUAUUAUUUAUACCUCUAACUGGAACGUACCUUGAGCAUAUAUGCUGUGACCCGAAAGAUGGUGAACUAUACUUGAUCAGGUUGAAGUCAGGGGAAACCCUGAUGGAAGACCGAAACAGUUCUGACGUGCAAAUCGAUUGUAAGAAUUGAGUAUAGUGGCGAAAGACCAAUCGAACCAUCCAGUAGCUGAUUCCUUCCGAAGUUUCCAUCAGGAUAGCUGGUGCAUUUAAAUGUUAUAUAAAAUAAUCUUAUCUGGUAAAGCGAAUGAUUAGAGGCCUUAGGGUCAAAACGAUCUUAACCUAUUCUCAAACUUUAAAUGGGUAAGAACCUUAACUUUCUUGAUAUGAAGUUUAAGGUUAUGACACUAACCAUAGAACACAUAGAUGGGACAAACUCAUGAUUUUUUGAUUGCAAACGCUAGCCUAGUCAUGGAACCCCAGAGAACUUCGGGAAAACCCGAACGUUCGCACUCUCAAUGAGAGCGUAAAGUGGGGGAGAGGGCCAAGCAGCUACGAAAAAAUUUCAGUCUAGCACAGGCUACAGAACGACGAAGGCAGGCCUAUGUCGCUUGUGAUUUCGUUCUGU
rnacentral:ncRNA from 1 species